GCCGGGGGGGGUGCUAUACAUGCAGUCGUACGCUUCUUUUUCCACCGGAGCUUGCUCCACCGGAAAAAGAAGAGUGGCGAACGGGUGAGUAACACGUGGGUAACCUGCCCAUCAGAAGGGGAUAACACUUGGAAACAGGUGCUAAUACCGUAUAACAAUCGAAACCGCAUGGUUUUGAUUUGAAAGGCGCUUUCGGGUGUCGCUGAUGGAUGGACCCGCGGUGCAUUAGCUAGUUGGUGAGGUAACGGCUCACCAAGGCCACGAUGCAUAGCCGACCUGAGAGGGUGAUCGGCCACAUUGGGACUGAGACACGGCCCAAACUCCUACGGGAGGCAGCAGUAGGGAAUCUUCGGCAAUGGACGAAAGUCUGACCGAGCAACGCCGCGUGAGUGAAGAAGGUUUUCGGAUCGUAAAACUCUGUUGUUAGAGAAGAACAAGGAUGAGAGUAACUGUUCAUCCCUUGACGGUAUCUAACCAGAAAGCCACGGCUAACUACGUGCCAGCAGCCGCGGUAAUACGUAGGUGGCAAGCGUUGUCCGGAUUUAUUGGGCGUAAAGCGAGCGCAGGCGGUUUCUUAAGUCUGAUGUGAAAGCCCCCGGCUCAACCGGGGAGGGUCAUUGGAAACUGGGAGACUUGAGUGCAGAAGAGGAGAGUGGAAUUCCAUGUGUAGCGGUGAAAUGCGUAGAUAUAUGGAGGAACACCAGUGGCGAAGGCGGCUCUCUGGUCUGUAACUGACGCUGAGGCUCGAAAGCGUGGGGAGCAAACAGGAUUAGAACCGGGGAGGUCUCACACAAAAAACGGACCAACCAAAAGCGGAACC
rnacentral:rRNA from 1 species